rnacentral:rRNA from 1 species
CCUACGGGAGGCAGCAGUGGGGGAUAUUGCACAAUGGACGAAACCCUGAUGCAGCAAAGCCGCGUGAGUGAAGACGUAUUUCGGUCUGUAAAGCUCUAUCAGCAGGGAAGUGAAUGACGGUACCUGAGUAAGAAGCUCCGGCUAACUACGUGCCAGCACCCGCGGUAAUAAGGAGGGUGCGAGCGUUAUACGGAUUUACUGGGUGUAAAGGGGGCGUAGGCGGCUUGUCAAGUCUGUAGUGAAAUCCAGAGGCUUAACCCCGGAACGGCUUUUGAAACUGAGCAUCUAGAGUGCUGGAGAGGUGAGCGGAAUUCCUAGUGUAGCGGUGAAAUGCUUAGAUAUUAGGAAGAACUCCAGUUGCGAAGGCGGCUUACUGGACAGUAACUGACGUUGAGGCUCGAAAGCGUGGGGAUCAAACAGGAUUAGAUACCCGAGUAGUC